rnacentral:hammerhead_ribozyme from 1 species
AUCUAGCUGACGAGUUCAAGAGUAGGACGAAACUCGCAUCUUGGAU